AUGAACAAAGCUAAUGGAGGUGAUGGAAUUCCAGUUGAGCUAUUUCAAAUCCUGAAAGAUGAUGCUGUGAAAGUGCUGCCCUCAACAUGCCAGCAAAUUUGGAAAACUCAUCAGUGGCCACAGGACUGGAAAAGGUCAGUUUUCAUUCCAAUCCCAAAGAUAGGCAAUGCCAAAGAAUGCUCAAAUUAUCGUACAAUUGCACUCAUCUCACAUGCUAGUAAAGUAAUGCUCAAAAUUCUCCAAGCCAGGCUUCAGCAAUAUGUGAACUGCGAACUUCCAGAUGUUCAAGCCACAUUUAGAAAAGGCAGAGGAAACAGAGAUCAAAUUGCCAACAUCUGCUGGAUCAUGGAAAAAGCAACAGAGUUCCAGAAAAACAUCUGUUUCUGCUUUAUUGACUAUGCCAAAGCCUUUGACUGUGUGACUCACAAUAAACUGUGGAAAAUUUUGAAAGAGAUGGGAAUACAAGACAACCUGACCUGCCUCUUGAGAAACCUAUAUGCAGGUCAGGAAGCAACAGUUAGAACUGGACAUGGAACAACAGACUGGUUCCAAAUAGGAAAAGGAGUAUGUCAAGGCUAUAUAUUGUCACCCUGCUUAUUUAAGUUAUAUGCAGAGGACAUCAUGAGAAACGCUGGAUUGGAAGAAGCACAAGCUGGAAUCAAGAUUGCCGGGAGAAAUAUCAAUAACCUCAGAUAUGCAGAUGACACCACCCUUAUGGCAAAAAGUGAAGAGGAACUAAAGAGCCUCUUGAUGAAAGUGAAAGAGGAGAGUGAAGAAGUUGGCUUACAGCUCAACAUUCAGAAAACGAAGAUCAUGGCAUCUGGUCUCAUCACUUCAUGGGAAAUAGAUGGAGAAACAGUGGAAACAGUGUCAGACUUUAUUUUGGGGGGCUCCAAAAUCACUGCAGAUGGUGAUUGUAGCCAUGAAAUUAAAAGACGCUUACUCCUUGGAAGAAAAGUUAUGACCAACCUAGAUAGCAUAUUCAAAAGCAAAGACAUUACUUUGCCAACAAAGGUCCAUCUAGUCAAGGCUAUGGUUUUUCCAGUGGUCAUGUAUGGAUGUAAAGUUGGACUGUGA
rnacentral:lncRNA from 1 species